UAACUCUCCUCUCUCCAGGGCAUCUAACACCAGACUGGUAUAACCCUCCUCUCUCCUCUCUCCAGGGCAUCUAACACCAGACUGGUAACCCUCCUCUCUCCUCUCUCCAGGACAUCUAACACCAGACUGGUAUAACCCUCCUCUCUCCUCUCUCCAGGGCAUCUAACACCAGACUGGUAUAACCCUCCUCUCUCUCCUCUCUCUCCAGGGCAUCUAACACCAGACUGGUAGCAGCUGUUGGCAGCAGGAACGGAACAGAGGAGACUAAACUCUUGGUGCUGGACUUUGACCUCACUGACACCCAGAAGUGAUGUCAUUUAAAAUGGACAUUAUGUCAUCGGGAAAGGAUGCGAUGUCAUUGGAUAAGGAUGUGAGGCAAUCAAAGAAGGACCCAAUAUCGUCAUANNNNNNNNNNAACUCUCCUCUCUCCAGGGCAUCUAACACCAGACUGGUAACCCUCCUCUCUCUCCUCUCUCUCCAGGGCAUCUAACACCAGACUGGUAGCAGCUGUUGGCAGCAGGAACGGAACAGAGGAGACUAAACUCUUGGUGCUGGACUUUGACCUCACUGACACCCAGAAGUGAUGUCAUUUAAAAUGGACAUUAUGUCAUCGGGAAAGGAUGCGAUGUCAUUGGAUAAGGAUGUGAGGCAAUCAAAGAAGGACCCAAUAUCGUCAUAUGGGAACGGAAAGCUUGUGGUGACGAGGAGGAGGUGUGAGGAGGAGGAGGAGGUGGUGAGGAGGAGGUGAAGUAUGGAAGGACUGAGUGCAACUCCAAAAUGUCCUCUUUCCUCAUCACAACCGUGGGCAACCAAACCCCCGUAUUUUCUGUCUGAACUAAAACACUGGUACUGACUGGUGAAGAGACACAAGAUCAACUUUCUGUGACUGGAAGAAACCACGAGAGGACUCACUGGCCAAACGGCUGACCGGCUGACCGGCUGGCCGGCUGACCGGCUGACCGGCUGGCUGACUGGCUGGCCGACUGACUGACUGGCCGACUGACUGACUGACUGGCCCACUGACUGACUGACUGGCCCACUGACUGACUGACUGGCCCACUGACUGACUGACUGGCCGACUGGCCGACUGACUGGCCGACUGGCCGACUGACUGGCCGACUGACCGGCUGGCCGACUGGCCGGCUGGCCGACUGGCCGGCUGACCGGCUGGCCGGCUGGCCGACUGACCGGCUGGCCGACUGACCGGCUGGCCGACUGGCCGACUGACCGGCCGACUGACUGACUGGCCGGCCGAUUGACUGACUGGCCGACUGACUGGCCGACUGACUGGCCGACUGACUGGCCGGCUGGCUGGCUGACCGACCACCCAACGACCAAACAAAGUAACUACUGUAACUCCUCCCAGACUACUGCUGGAUGUAUAGACUGUAUAUGAGGCAGAUUAAAGGUCUAGAGAGACACUGUUCCCAGAUCUGUUUGGUCUUCAGCCAACCCCUCUGACUGGCAUGAUGGACUGCAGUAACUACAGGUCUGGGACCAGAUCUAUUGAACUGGAGAGACACUGGACUCUAUGGAUAUGUCUGAAACCCUAUUCCCUAUGUAGUGCACUACUAUAGACCCUAUUCCCUAUAUAGUGCACUACUAUAGACCAGAGCCCUAUUCCCAAUGUAGUACACUACUAUAGACCCUAUUCCCUAUGUAGUGCACUACUAUAGACCCUAUUCCCUAUGUAGUACACUACUAUAGACCCUAUUCCCUACAUAGUACACUACUAUAGACCCUAUUCCCUACAUAGUCUAUAGUAGUGUACUAUAUAGGGAAUAGGGUCUAUAGUAGUGCACUAUAUAGGGAAUAGGGUCUAUAGUAGUGCACUAUAUAGGGAAUAGGGUCUAUAGUAGUGUACUAUAUAGGGAAUAGGGUCUAUAGUAGUGCACUAUAUAGGGUCUAUAGUAGUGCACUAUAUAGGGAAUAGGGUCUAUAGUAGUGCACUAUAUAGGGUCUAUAGUUGUGCACUAUAUAGGGAAUAGGGUCUAUAGUAGUGCACUAUAUAGGGAAUAGGGUCUAUAGUAGUGCACUAUAUAGGGAAUAGGGUCUAUAGUAGUGCACUAUAUAGGGAAUAGGGUCUAUAGUAGUGCACUAUAUAGGGAAUAGGGUCUAUAGUAGUGCACUAUGUAGGGAAUAGGGUCUAUAGUAGUGCACUAUAUAGGGAAUAGGGUCUAUAGUAGUGCACUAUAUAGGGUGCCAGACUCACCCUCUCCAGCCAGUCUAAUAUAUGCUGGAUCCAUAUACAGAAUGGAGGUCCGGAGUUUUUCCUCAUUGACCUNNNNNNNNNNAUAGUAGUGUACUAUAUAGGGAAUAGGGUCUAUAGUAGUGCACUAUAUAGGGAAUAGGGUCUAUAGUAGUGCACUAUAUAGGGAAUAGGGUCUAUAGUAGUGUACUAUAUAGGGAAUAGGGUCUAUAGUAGUGCACUAUAUAGGGUCUAUAGUAGUGCACUAUAUAGGGAAUAGGGUCUAUAGUAGUGCACUAUAUAGGGUCUAUAGUUGUGCACUAUAUAGGGAAUAGGGUCUAUAGUAGUGCACUAUAUAGGGAAUAGGGUCUAUAGUAGUGCACUAUAUAGGGAAUAGGGUCUAUAGUAGUGCACUAUAUAGGGAAUAGGGUCUAUAGUAGUGCACUAUAUAGGGAAUAGGGUCUAUAGUAGUGCACUAUGUAGGGAAUAGGGUCUAUAGUAGUGCACUAUAUAGGGAAUAGGGUCUAUAGUAGUGCACUAUAUAGGGUGCCAGACUCACCCUCUCCAGCCAGUCUAAUAUAUGCUGGAUCCAUAUACAGAAUGGAGGUCCGGAGUUUUUCCUCAUUGACCUACCCAGGAAAACCUCCUGGGCCCCAGUGAUAUACUGUACUUAGACUUCAACUUGAGUUCCAACUGGUUCCCCAUUCCCUAUGUAGUGCACUACUUUAGACCAGCUAACUGGAUCCUCCCUAUAGGUCCUGGUCUAAAGUAGUGCACUACAUAGGGAAUAGGGCUCUGGUCUAUAGUAGUGCACUAUAUAGGGAAUAGGGUUCUGGUCUAUAGUAGUGCACUAUAUAGGGAAUAGGGCUCUGGUCUAAAGUAGUGUACUAUAUAGGGAAUAGGGCUCUGGUCUGUAGUAGUGUACUAUAUAGGGAAUAGGGCUCUGGUCUAUAGUAGUGCACUAUAUAGGGAAUAGGGCUCUGGUCUAUAGUAGUGCCACUAUAUAGGGAAUAGGGCUCUGGUCUAAAGUAGUGCACUA
rnacentral:lncRNA from 13 species